ensembl:lncRNA novel transcript
GUGUAAAUGUCUGUUAGGUCCAUUCUGUAUAGAGUACAGUUUAACUGAUGAUGUUUUGUUGCCUGGAUGAUCUGUCCGUUCGCGAUAGUGGGGUGUUGAUUACGGUGGAGUGUUGAGUCCUUUAGGUUGUUUGAGGGACAUUCAUCAAGGAAACCGGAUAAACUUAAAACGCUCUUCCACUUCUUUGGAACAGUCACAGAGAAAAGUGAACUCCUUUCAUUCUUGCAGUAAUUUUUCUUGCUGAUGGGAACAGUUCAAGUCAAGUGACAUUCAAGGAACUUGAUGCUCCCUAAAUCCAAAUAUUACGGUUAAAAGAAGAGAGAGGAAAUGUGUGCAGAGAAAGUGUAUUUUACAAAUGAAUUAAAGAUGGAUUCUGAGAUACAGGUUUAUAGAUUUACCUAGAGUUUUGAGUUCAGGAAGCUAUCAUUCUUUAGAGGGCAAUGACCAAACAGUACCAGCAGAAAUUGAAGUACCAGCAGAAGGCUAAGAAGGGAUCAUGGCACAAGCUGCAGUUUCCACCCUGCCCAUUGAAGAUGAGGAGUCCAUGGAAGAUGAGGAGUCCGUUGAAGAUGAGUCUGUUGAAGAUGAGUCCGCAGAGAGCAGGAUGGUGGUGACAUUGCUCAUAUCAGCUCUUGAGUCCAUGGAUCAUGGCACAAGUUGCAGUUUCCACUCUGCCCAUUGAAGAUGAGGAGUCUGCUGAAGAUGAGGAGACAUUGGAGAGCAGGAUGGUGGUGACAUUCCUAAUGUCAGCUCUUGAGUCCACGAGUCUCUGUUUCACCCAAUCUGGAGUGCAAUGAUGCAGUCGUAGCUAACUGCAGCCUCAACCACCUGGGCUCAAGCAAUUCUCCCGCCUCAGCCUUCCAAGCAUCUGGGACUACAGGUGCACACCAUCCAUGCCCAGCUGAUUUUUGUAUUUUUUUUGUAGAGAUGGGAUCUUGUUAUAUUGCCGAGGCUGGUCUUGAACUCUGGGGCUAAAGGAAUCCUUUCACCAUAGCCUCUCAAGUAGCUGAAACUACAGAUGCAUACCACCAUGCCCAGCUAAUUUUCUCUUAUUUCUUUUUGUUGUUUAAUUGAGGGGGGGGGUCUCACUGUGUUUCCCAGGCUGGUCCUGAACUUCUGGCCUCAAGCAUUUCUCCUGCUUUGACCUCCUAAACUGUUGGGAUUAUGGUUGUGAGCCCCGGCCUCUGUGUCCAGCAAUCACAAGAGGUCUUUAUAAGUGAAAGAGGGAGGUAAGAGAGUCAGAAUUGAAGAUUUGAUGAUGUAAGCACAGGUAACAGAGGGAGAUUUGAAUAUGCUUUGCUUCUGGCUUUGGAGAUGCAGUUAGGGGCCAUGAGCCAAAGAAUAGGGGUGGCUUUCGGAACUGGGAAAGGCAAGGGAACACGUUCUCUCUGGAACCUCCAGAAGGGAUGCAGUCCUGCUGACACCUUGACUUUAGCCUUAAUAGACCUAUUUUGGACUUCUGGCCCCCAGACCUGUUAGGUAGUAGAUUUGUGGUGUAUUAAGCCACUCAAUGUAGGGUAGUUUGUAACAGCAGCAAGAAGAAAUGAACAUGAAGCCAGGGGUAGUGGCCCACACCUAUAAUUCCAGCUAUUUAGGAGGCUGAGGCAGGAUGGUUGCUUUGGCCCAGGAGUUCAAGAUAAGCCUGGGCAACAAAGUGAUACCCUGUCUACGUGGGAAAAAAAAAUUAGCGGGUGUAGUGGCAUGCACUUGUAGUCUUAGCUACUAGAGGCGCUGAGGCAGGACGAUUUUUUGACCUAGGAGUUCCAGGUCUCAGUGUGUUGUGAUCGUGCCAUGGUGCCCCAGCCUGAGUGACACAGCGAGAUUAUAUCUUAAAAAAAAAGUAAAAAGAAAUGAGUGAGCAUGGCAGGAAUGGGGACACAUACCAAUAUUAAAUAGAGUGGUCAGGGUUGGCCUCCUAAGUGAAAAUUGAGCAAAGACUUGAAGGAGGGGAAGGAGCUGGCCAAGGUACUGAGGGAAGAGCAUUGUAGGCAGAAACAACAGAAUAAAGGUGCUAAGAGGGAACUCCGUGGUGUGUCUGAAGCUCAGGAAAGAGGUCUGUCGAGUAGAGAGAGGGAGAGAAGGUAGGGGAGGAGGCCAGGGAGUUGUGGGACUCAGAUCAGUACAGAUUGUGCAAGCCCUGGGAGGCUAUUGCUGGGGCUUUGGCUUUUAUGCUGAGAUGGGAGAUGCGGAAGGGUUCUGAGCAGAGAGGUGACAUGAACUGUCUAUUGAUUUAAAAGCAUCCCAUGGUGGCUGAGUUGAGAAAGAUUGUGGGAAGAUUUGGGUAGAAGCACGGAGGCCAAGCUGUGGCAACAUCCAGGUAUGAGAUGAUAGUGGUUCUGACCAGGGUCCUGGCAAUGGUGAGAGAUGGUUGAUUCUUGUUGAGAUACUAAGUAAUUAAAAAAAAAAACACUACUGCUUUUCCUGAUUAUAUGAAGUAUGGGAUGCUAGAUUAAAGACAUCUUAAGUCGGGCCAGGUGCAGUGGCUUAUGCCUGUGGCGUCAGCACUUUGGGAGCACUUUGGGAGGCACAGAUGGCACAGAUGGGAGAAUUGUUCGAGUCCAGGAGCCUGAGACCACCCUGGGCAACAUAGCAAGACCUCCUGUCUAUGCAAAUAAAAAUUAAUAAAAUAUAAUUAU